GGUCUUAUAGCUUAGUAGUAGAGUUCCUACCUAUAAUUAUAGAAAACCUACUAUAAGCUAAUUCCUAUAGGUAGUUCUCUAUAUAUAUAGGAGGUCCUAGGUUCGAUUCCUAGUAGGACUA
rnacentral:tRNA from 1 species